UACGUAGGUGACUAGCGUUGUCCGGAUUUACUGGGCGUAAAGAGCGCGCAGGCGGUCGUUCAAGUCGAGUGUGAAAGCCCCCGGCUCAACUGGGGAGGGUCAUUCGAUACUGAUCGACUCGAAGGCAGGAGAGGGAAGUGGAAUUCCCGGUGUAGUGGUGAAAUGCGUAGAUAUCGGGAGGAACACCAGUGGCGAAGGCGACUUCCUGGCCUGUUCUUGACGCUGAGGCGCGAAAGCUAGGGGAGCAAACGGG
rnacentral:rRNA from 1 species